GAUGAACGCUAGCGAUAGGCUUAACACAUGCAAGUCGAGGGGCAGCAUGGUCUUAGCUUGCUAAGACUGAUGGCGACCGGCGCACGGGUGCGUAACGCGUAUGCAACUUGCCUCACAGAGGGGGAUAACCCGUCGAAAGACGGACUAAUACCGCGUACACUCCGUCUUGGGCAUCCAAGGUAGAGGAAAUGAAAUUCGCUGUGAGAUAGGCAUGCGUCCCAUUAGCUAGUUGGUGAGGUAACGGCUCACCAAGGCGACGAUGGGUAGGGGAACUGAGAGGUUGAACCCCCACACUGGUACUGAGACACGGACCAGACUCCUACGGGAGGCAGCAGUGAGGAAUAUUGGUCAAUGGGCGAGAGCCUGAACCAGCCAAGUCGCGUGAAGGAUGACUGUCUUAUGGAUUGUAAACUUCUUUUAUACGGGAAUAACAAGAGUCACGUGUGACUCCCUGCAUGUACCGUAUGAAUAAGCAUCGGCUAACUCCGUG
rnacentral:rRNA from 1 species